rnacentral:rRNA from 1 species
AUGGAUGUGCACCAUAUUCCCAUCCUCUUCCUCCUACUCUUGAGUUCGUUCUGCGAAUCCGACGAUCAGCUCACACGGGCAAAACCACUCACCCACGGCGACACACUCAUAUCAGAGAGCGGGAACUUCGCGCUCGGCUUCUUCUCCACAACCAGCUCCAACAAGAGUUCUUACCUUGGCAUAUGGUACCACAGCAUCCCUGGUCCACGCACCGUCGUGUGGGUCGCCAAUCGAGACAACCCAAUCACCACCUCUUCAUCCGCGAUGCUCUCCAUCACCACCAGUUCUGAUCUGGCGUUGUCUGACUCCAAAGGCCAUGCUAUUUGGAGGGCUACAAGCAGUAUCACCACAGGAGGGGCCGAAGCUUACGCUUUGCUACUCAACUCCGGGAAUUUCGUCCUCCGAUUGCCAAACUCCACGGAUGUAUGA